rnacentral:rRNA from 1 species
GAUGAACGCUAGCGGCAGGCUUAACACAUGCAAGUCGAGGGGUAACAGGGAAGAGCUUGCUUUUCUGCUGACGACCGGCGCACGGGUGCGUAACGCGUAUAGAACCUACCUUUUACAGGGGAAUAGCCCAGAGAAAUUUGGAUUAAUGCCCCAUAGUAUUAUUGAAUGGCAUCAUUUAAUAAUUAAACAUUUAUGGGUAAAAGAUGGCUAUGCGUUCUAUUAGCUAGAUGGUAAGGUAACGGCUUACCAUGGCAACGAUAGAUAGGGGUCCUGAGAGGGAGAUCCCCCACACUGGUACUGAGACACGGACCAGACUCCUACGGGAGGCAGCAGUGAGGAAUAUUGGACAAUGGAGGCAACUCUGAUCCAGCCAUGCCGCGUGCAGGAAGACGGUCCUAUGGAUUGUAAACUGCUUUUAUAUAGGAAGAAACCUUUCCACGUGUGGAAAGCUGACGGUACUAUAAGAAUAAGCACCGGCUAACUCCGUGCCAGCAGCCGCGGUAAUACGGAGGGUGCAAGCGUUAUCCGGAAUCAUUGGGUUUAAAGGGUCCGUAGGCGGACUAAUAAGUCAGGGGUGAAAUCCAACAGCUUAACUGUUGAACUGCCUUUGAUACUGUUAGUCUUGAGUUAUAUGGAAGUAGAUAGAAUAUGUAGUGUAGCGGUGAAAUGCUUAGAGAUUACAUAGAAUACCGAUUGCGAAGGCAGUCUACUACG